UUUAUUGGAUGAUGUGACAUUUACGGGACGUAGUGACAUUUAUCGGAUGGAGUGACAUUUAUUGGAUGAUGUGACAUUUACGGGACGUAGUGACAUUUACUGGAUGUAGUGACAUUUACGGGAAGUAGUGACAUUUAUCGGAUGAAGUGACAUUUAUUGGAUGAUGUGACAUUUACGGGACGUAGUGACAUUUACUGGAUGUAGUGACAUUUACGGGAAGUAGUGACAUUUACUUGACGUAGGGACAAUUACUGGACGCGGUGACAUUGACUAAGCGUAGUGACUAUUACUUAACGGAAUGACAUUUACUGAACAUAACCUAACUACGGACAUAAAACACACACACGCACAGAUAGACAUAAACACUUGCGCACUUUCAUUGAACAUUCACCACUGUGUUCCAAAACCUAAAUAACUUUUCAUUUCAGACAUUAUCAUAUGUUACUUUAAUAUGUUUUACUUACAUGUGAUUAUAAUAUUAUUUUUUUUUUACAUUCGUUAUUUUGCCUUCAAACAAAUGUUAUUGGAAGUAUUCCUUUUUUUUCCUUAAAUUUUUCAAUCAAUGAAUUGUUUCACUGACAGUGGCUAUAACACUUUGACUAUGAAAUGUAUAGCUACAUGUUUGUAGCGUUGAGACCAUUGUAUGUGUUCUUAAACAGCCAUGUCCAUGGAGUUACCUGCUCCCUCCUAAACCUGCUCAGCAGACGUCACACGUUAUGCUCAUAUCAGAACAUUAGUUCGUUGCAAAAAUGAUUUUUUUCUAAAUAUAGAAUUUCAGUUUGAAAUUCACGAAGAGAAGACAAUUCUGAAAGACGUGAAAUAAACAUUUUAAAAAGAACAAAC